CAUAACCCGAAGGUCGGUGGUUCAAAUCCGCCUCCCGCCA
rnacentral:tRNA from 1 species